UCCCUAAUAGCUCAGUAGGUAAAGAAUCUGCCUGAAUGCAGAAGACCCAGGUUCAAUUCCUGGGUCGAGAA
rnacentral:tRNA from 1 species